rnacentral:rRNA from 1 species
AUUGAACGCUGGCGGCAGGCCUAACACAUGCAAGUCGAGCGGAGCGGCGGACGGGUGAGUAAUGUCUGGGAAACUGCCUGAUGGAGGGGGAUAACUACUGGAAACGGUAGCUAAUACCGCAUACUCUUGGAGCGGCCGAUAUCGGAUUAGCUAGUUGGUGGGGUAACGGCUCACCAAGGCGACGAUCCGUAGCUGGUUUGAGAGGACGACCAGCCACACUGGGACUGAGACACGGCCCAGACUCCUACGGGAGGCAGCAGUGGGGAAUUUUGGACAAUGGGGGAAACCCUGAUCCAGCCAUCCCGCGUGUGUGAAGAAGGUCUUCGGAUUGUAAAGCACUUUAAGUUGGGAGGCGUUACCAACAGAAUAAGCACCGGCUAACUUCGUGCCAGCAGCCGCGGUAAUAC